UACAGAGGUCCCAAUCGUUGUUCGGAUUCAUUGGGCGUAAAGGGUGCGUAGGCGGCGCGGUAAGUCGGGUGUGAAAUCUCGGAGCUUAACUCCGAAACUGCAUUCGAUACUGCCGUGCUUGAGGACUGGAGAGGAGACUGGAAUUUACGGUGUAGCGGUGAAAUGCGUAGAUAUCGUAAGGAAGACCAGUGGCGAAGGCGGGUCUCUGGACAGUUCCUGACGCUGAGGCACGAAGGCCAGGGGAGCAAACGGG
rnacentral:rRNA from 1 species